UACGGAGGGUGCAAGCGUUGUUCGGAAUUACUGGGCGUAAAGGGCGCGUAGGUGGUUCUGUAAGUCAGAUGUGAAAUCCCCAGGCUCAACCUGGGAACUGCAUCUGAUACUGCAGGACUGGAGUACAGGAGAGGGAAACGGAAUUCCAGGUGUAGAGGUGAAAUUCGUAGAUAUCUGGAGGAACACCGGUGGCGAAGGCGGUUUCCUGGCCUGAUACUGACACUGAGGCGCGAAAGCGUGGGGAG
rnacentral:rRNA from 1 species